rnacentral:lncRNA from 1 species
GAAAAAAUGAAAGACCCAUUAUGCUGUGCAGAUCAUCCUGUCUUGGUGCAGCUCUGCUACUUACAGCAAUUCUUCUGAGUGGCUAAGAAAGAGCAGAAAGGCAGCCUGGCCUAGAGGCAAGUCCUUCUCCAGGAUUUUCUCAAAUAGAUGCAAGUCCAGGGCACUCAUCAGGCCAGCAAACUUCACCUCCAACCAUGCUAAAAAGAAAACCUUAAGGAUAAGAACAGGUUUAAAUAUUCUGCUGCAUUAGGACUGAAUUCACUGAUACACAUUCAAUACACUGAAAUCUGAAUGUUAUCUCCAUCAUUUCAGGAUUUGUUCUCUUUAGCCCAUUGUGGGUCUCCACCAAUAUGGCUAUACGAGGGGAUAAAGCACAUUGCCCUCAAUAAACUGAAAACCAGCAAGAAAGUUCUGCUGCUUCGUCCAUGGACCUUGAAAUGGAUGUGGUGUUACAGAAAGGAUGAGAUGGCUGAAAGGAGCAAGUAGGGAAGGUGAAGGGAUGAGCUUGGUACAGGGCAGGCCACCAAUGGCAGCAGGGUACAGACUUGGCAGAGGGGAACCCCAGGCCCCAGCCCAGCGACAUCAUCACACUAAUGAGCAGAGGUGUGAAAUGAGAGGCGCGAGCUUCCCACAGCCCUAGCAAGUGCUGCUGGGCUUCAGCAACUCCAGGAGAGGAUGCUGUGGCCAGGGUGCCUAGAGACUACAAGCAGCUGUACCUGGUGGAGCUAAAAUAAAGGCCAAGUUAAG